GUAGGUGAACCUGCGGAAGGAUCAUUAUCGAAUAAACUUGAACAGGCUGCUGCUGGCCUCCUCAUUUGAGGGGUGUAAUGUGCACGCUUGUCAUCUUUAUCAUCUCUCCAACUGUGCACAUAUUGUAGACCUGGAAGAAAGCUUUUGAAUUCAUUUUCGAGUUGGGACUGCUGUGCUUUUGAUAAAAGUCGGCUUUGCCUUGAAAUUUCCAGGUCUAUGUCAUUUUCACAACCUCUUGAUAUGUUUAGAAUGUUGAACCAUAUAAAAAAAUAUACAACUUUCAGCAACGGAUCUCUUGGCUCUC
rnacentral:misc_RNA from 1 species